AGAAAAAACGAUGGUCUUAACAUGAAGAAGAGAUCUUAAGGACUGCUGUUCAAUCGUUUGGUCCCAGGUGGAAGGACAUCUGGACUACCCACCAUGAUGAUUUUGGAGACAGGACUGCGGUAAGCAAAUGUUAUGUUGUCUUGUUUGUUUGCAAAUUGCAAUGCCAGCCAACUUAAUUCCUUGUCCAUCCGUGUCAAGGCAAUUGCUGUUGUUAAAAGUUGGAUUUUUCUUCACUCCCACUGGUCGAUUUGAAGGAUAAGUGGAGAAACAUGAACAAAAAUGUGCGUCAUUGAACUGAAGUAUAUAUGCAGCUUAGCUUUUUGUAUUUUGCUUGCUUGCAUAUAGUUAUAUGCUUUUGAUUGGUUCAA